UGCCAACAGCCGCGGUAAUACGGAGGAUCCAAGCGUUAUCCGGAAUCAUUGGGUUUAAAGGGUCCGUAGGCGGGUUUAUAAGUCAGUGGUGAAAGUUUGCAGCUUAACUGUAAAAUUGCCAUUGAUACUGUAGAUCUUGAAUUAGUGUGAAGUGGUUAGAAUGUGUAGUGUAGCGGUGAAAUGCAUAGAUAUUACACAGAAUACCAAUUGCGAAGGCAGAUCACUAACACUAUAUUGACGCUGAGGGACGAAAGCGUGGGGAGCGAACAGGAUUAGAUA
rnacentral:rRNA from 1 species